GUAAUUCUGUUCCCCAACGGCAGUUGAGAUGUCCUAGAAAUAGUAAAACCAGCUUUACACUGAAAAAUGAAUAUCCCAUAUCGUCACUCAAACCCUAAACACUCUCUCUCUCUCAGUUUCUGAAGGUAAAAAAUGACUGAGCCUUCAAAGGUCAUUCACAUUCGCAAUGUGGGCCAUGAGAUCUCUGAGAAUGACUUGCUUCAGCUAUUUCAGCCCUUUGGCGUCAUUACCAAACUUGUAAUGCUUCGGGCAAAAAAUCAGGCUCUCUUGCAAAUGCAAGACGUUCCAUCUGCUGUAAAUGCAUUACAGUUCUAUUCAAAUGUUCAACCCAGCAUCAGGGGAAGAAAUGUUUAUGUACAAUUUUCAUCUCAUCAAGAACUGACAACCAUGGAUCAGAACUCCCAAGGGCGAGGAGAUGAGCCAAAUCGAAUUCUCUUAGUUACGAUACAUCAUGUGCUAUAUCCUAUAACUGUGGAAGUGCUGCAUCAAGUGUUUUCACCUCAUGGAGNAUAUAUAUCUGCAUAAUCUUUAUUGCUACUGAUAUUUGCUAUGAACUUUGUAGGUUUUCAAGCUUUGAUUCAAUACCAAUUACCCCAAAAUGCUGUUUCUGCUAGGAACUCUCUCCAGGGGCGUAAUAUAUAUGAUGGUUGCUGUCAGCUUGAUGUACAAUUCUCAAACCUAGACGAAUUGCAAGUGAACUACAAUAAUGAACGCUCGAGGGACUUCACCAACCCAAAUCUACCAUCAGAACAGAAGGGCAAAUCUCCUCAGGGAUAUGGAGACGCAGGAGGCAUGUACUCCUUGCAAGGUUCCGGGCCUCGUGGAGUUGGAUUUCCUCAGAUGGGAAAUGCUGCAGCAAUUGCAGCUGCCUUUCCUGGUGGUUUGCCUCCUGGCAUAAGCGGGACAAAUGACAGGUGUACUGUUAUUGUAUCUAAUUUAAAUCCAGAUAGAAUAGACGAAGACAAGCUUUUUAAUCUGUUCUCCAUUUAUGGAAACAUUGUCAGAAUUAAACUCCUACGGAAUAAACCAGAUCACGCUCUGGUUCAGAUGGGUGAUGGUUUCCAGGCAGAGCUAGCCGUGCACUUUUUGAAGGGUGCCAUGCUAUUUGGUACGCGGUUGGAAGUCAACUAUUCAAAGCACCCAAAUAUUAUCACUGGACCAGAUACACAUGACUACUCAAACUCAAAUCUCAAUCGUUUUAACCGGAAUGCUGCCAAAAACUACCGGUAUUGUUGCUCCCCUACCAAAAUGAUCCACCUGUCAAGCCUGCCCCAGGAUGUGACAGAGGAAGAGAUCGUGGCCCACAAGGAGGAGCAUGGUACCAUUGUCGGUACAAAGCUUUUUGAAAUGAAUGGGAAGAAGCAGGCUCUUGUUCUUUUUGAAAAUGAGGAGCAGGCAACUGAGGCAUUGGUGUGCAAACAUGCUACCUCCCUUGGCGGCUCGAUCAUUCGGAUUUCCUUUUCUCAGUUACAAAACAUCUGAGAUGCCUUCCUUGAUGCAAAUAUUAAAGAAUACUAUGGUAUCGUAGACCCAAUAUUGACAAUUGAUCACUGGCUUUAACUGUGGUUGUAACUUCAGUCUCUUCUAAUAUUCUUCCUUCCUUCAUCCAUUAUUCUACUUCUCUUUUCUUUGAGCUCAGGGUAUAUUGGGGAGAUUGAAGAGCUUUGUACUAAUAGGGUAGUCAAAAUUCUGUAAUAGAAGUGUUUUCUUCCUUCAUUGCACAUCACUUGCUGUCCAUCUUCCAUUCUUCUUCAAUUUCUGAUUAACUGAAUUUAUCCUUUGGUCUUCC